ensembl:lncRNA
AUGUUAAUGGCUUAAGGAGUGUUUGUCUAAAAACUGGUAAUACAAGACUUACUAGCCCUAAAUUUGCCUAACCUAUCUCAUCCUCCUUCACUUUAAGCUAUAUUGUUACUCUGAGAAAGAAGACAGAGCCAUUUCACACAAUAGUCUGAGGGAUCUGCCCUGCCCUUGCCUUACCCAGGGAAGCUGCCUCUCAGAACACAGCAGAUAAUCUGGUCAGAUGUAUCAAGGUGACAGCAGGUGACAUUUGACGAAAUGAGGGGAAAGAAGACAAUUGAAGGCAUUAUUUCAAAGAGAGGUUAACUAGAAGUCAAUAGAUGCAGGAUGGACUCAGCAAACAGCUCUAGUCAAGCUAUGGAUCUGGUCAUCUCAGAUCUCUGUUCACAGUCUUUUCAUUCUGGAAACUAGAGUGGAGGAAGCAGAUACCCAUAUUGGAAGAUUCUUAUGUCAAUGACAGAAUGCAAAAGCACAAACCCCUCUGCACAAACACUCUUUAAGCCUCUGUGUGUAUCACAUCUGUUGACAUGCCAAAUUCAAUGUAGGGAAGACCCAUUCUUUGACAUCGCUUCAGAUACGGACACCAGCUAGUAAACAAACCAAGGGUCAAUACCAGGAUUCCAAUCAAGGUCAACCUGACCAAAGCAAUCCAGAACGUUUUCUACCUUGGAAUGCAACACAAAUGAAAAAUCAAAUGUUAACAUCAGAUUGUAAAAACUCAUUACACCACGAAUUUUUUUGAAAAUUUUCUUUAAAUAAGAAACAUUCCUACUUCAUUUCUAAUUUAAUUUGUGAAAAUAUUAUUUACCCC